rnacentral:rRNA from 1 species
AUCUUCCACAAUGGGCGAAAGCCUGAUGGAGCAAUGCCGCGUGAAUGAAGAAGGUCUUCGGAUCGUAAAGUUCUGUUAUUAGAGAAGAAAAAAUCAAGGACUAACUAUCUUGGUUUUGACGGUACCUAACCAGAAAGUCACGGCUAACUACGUGCCAGCAGCCGCGGUAAUACGUAGGUGACGAGCGUUUUCCGGAAUUAUUGGGCGUAAAGGGAGCGCAGGCGGUUGGAACAGUCUGAUGUGAAAGCCCACGGCUUAACCGUGGAAGGUCAUUGGAAACUGUCCAACUUGAAUACAGAAGAGGUAAGUGGAAUUCCAUGUGUAGCGGUGAAAUGCGUAGAUAUAUGGAGGAACACCAGUGGCGAAGGCGACUUACUGGUCUGUGAUUGACGCUGAGGCUCGAAAGCGUGGGUAGCAAACA